AUUGCAAUGUGCAAUGUUCAUUUCACGUGAGCGGAUUGACUUUAAGUACCCUUUUCUAUGGCGUUGCAUAUACCUAACGAUGUACUAAUUGCUGUAUAAAUUCGCUUAAUAAGAAGCUUAAUUUAUUAAGAAACAGAAGGCGUGAAUUUAAAGAGUUAUCUAUUGCUUAUUACUACUCUUAAAAGAGAAAAAUAUUAGAAUUUUACAGAUUAUUGAUCGUUUUUGUAAUAAUAUAAAUAUAUU